AGAGUUUGAUCCUGGCUCAGAACGAACGCUAGCGGCGCGUUUUAAGCAUGCAAGUCGAACGGGGAUAUUAGGAGCAAUUCUGGUAUUCCAGUGGCAAACGGGUGAGUAACACGUGGAUAAUCUGCCCUCAAGACCUGGAUAGCCCGCAGAAAUGCGGAUUAAUACGGGAUGUGGUGCCUGAUCAUGAGGAUUGGGCCAUUAAAGGUGGGGACCGCAAGGCCUGCCGCUUGGGGAGGAGUCCGCGGCCCAUUAGCUAGUUGGUGGGGUAAAGGCCUACCAAGGCGACGAUGGGUAGCCGGCCUGAGAGGGUGACCGGCCACAUUGGGACUGAGACACGGCCCAGACUCCUACGGGAGGCAGCAGCUAAGAAUCUUCCGCAAUGGGCGAAAGCCUGACGGAGCGACGCCGCGUGGAUGAUGAAGGUCUUCGGAUUGUAAAGUCAUUUCGGGGAGGAAGAAUAAGCGUACUCUAACAUAGUGCGUGAUGACGACCCUUCCAGAAGAAGCUCCGGCUAACUACGUGCCAGCAGCCGCGGCAAUACGUAGGGAGUAAGCGUUGUUCGGAAUUACUGGGCGUAAAGGGUGUGUAGGCGGGGACGCAAGUUGGGGGUGAAAUCUACGGGCUCAACCCGUAAACUGCCUCCAAAACUGCGUUUCUUGAGUAUGGGAGAGGAGAUUGGAAUUCCCAGUGUAGGGGUGAAAUCUGUAGAUAUUGGGAAGAACACCAGUGGCGAAGGCGAAUCUCUGGCCUAAUACUGACGCUGAGACACGAAAGCGUGGGGAGCAAACAGGAUUAGAUACCCUGGUAGUCCACGCCCU
rnacentral:rRNA from 1 species